rnacentral:pre_miRNA from 1 species
GGUGGGAUAGCUGGGUCAAAUGGUGGUUCCAUUCCCAAUUUUCCAAGAAAUCUCCAUACUGCUUUCGAGAUUGCUUACACCAAUUUGCAAUCCCACCAGCAAU